GACUACUGAUAGGACAACAAUGGAAGUC
rnacentral:sRNA from 1 species